CCACUUACCUGACAGGGAAGAUACCAUGAUCACUAAGGUGGUUUUCCCAGGGCGAGGCUCACCCAUUGCACUCCGGGUGUGCUGACCCCUGCGAUUUCCCCAAAUGUGGGAAACUCGACUGCAUAAUUUGUGGUAGUGGGGGACUGUGUUCGCGCUCUCCCCUG
rnacentral:snRNA from 1 species